rnacentral:rRNA from 1 species
GACGAACGCUGGCGGCGUGCUUAACACAUGCAAGUCGAACGGAAAGGCCCUGCUUUUGUGGGGUGCUCGAGUGGCGAACGGGUGGGUAACAAGUGAGUAACCUGCCCUUGACUUUGGGAUAACUUCAGGAAACUGGGGCUAAUACCGGAUAGGAGCUCCUGCUGCAUGGUGGGGGUUGGAAAGUUUCGGCGGUUGGGGAUGGACUCGCGGCUUAUCAGCUUGUUGGUGGGGUAGUGGCUUACCAAGGCGUUGAGGGGUAGCCGGCCUGGGUGGGUGACCGGCCACAUUGGGACUGAGAUACGGCCCAGACUCCUACGGGAGGCAGCAGUGGGGAAUAUUGCACAAUGGGCGGAAGCCUGAUGCAGCAACGCCGCGUGCGGGAUGACGGCCUUCGGGUUGUAAACCGCUUUCGCCUGUGACGAAGCGUGAGUGACGGUAAUGGGUAAAGAAGCACCGGCUAACUACGUG